rnacentral:lncRNA from 1 species
AAAGAUGAGAUGAUUAAAGACUUGUUUUUAGGAUUAGAGAAUUACUCAACGAAGAAGUAAUCUUGAUUAUUUUGAGGACUUGAGCAAAGUAAAUUUUGAGAAUGAAACUUUUUUUUAGGAGAGAGGAGAAUGUAAUACCCCAUCCAGCUACACAAAUCUUAAAGCAACUCAAAAAAAAUUAUAGAGAAGACUCCUAACAAGCGUCUUCUUUCAUUAGACUCCAGAUCGGAGUCGAUGAAUGACUAUAGGGAGAGUCCAACUCCUCCCUCAUCCACCUCUAUUUAGAGAGACUAAGUCCCUUUGUGGAACCCAUCACUGACUAACUGCCCA